CAGCAGCCGCGGUAAUACAAAGGAUGCAAGCGUUAUCCGGAAUGAUUGGGCGUAAAGCGUCUGUAGGUGGCUUUUCAAGUCCGCCGUCAAAUCCCAGGGCUCAACCCUGGACAGGCGGUGGAAACUACCAAGCUGGAGUACGGUGGGGGCAGAGGGAAUUUCCAGUGGAGCGGUGAAAUGCGUUGAGAUCGGAAAGAACACCAACGGCGAAAGCACUCUGCUGGGCCGACACUGACACUGAGAGACGAAAGCUAGGGGAGCAAAUGGGAUUAGAUACCCGCGUAGUCCCUGUCUCUUAUAC
rnacentral:rRNA from 1 species